GAGGGUAUAGCUCAGUGGUAGAGUGCGUGCUUAGCAUGCACAAGGUCCUGGGUUCAAUCCUCAAUACUUCCC
rnacentral:tRNA from 1 species